rnacentral:rRNA from 1 species
GGUUGAUCCUGCCAGUAGUCAUAUGCUUGUCUCAAAGAUUAAGCCAUGCAUGUCUAAGUAUAAACCAAUUUAUACGGUGAAACUGCGAAUGGCUCAUUAUAUCAGUUAUAAUUUAUUUGAUGGUACCUUUACUACAUGGAUAACCGUGGUAAUUCUAGAGCUAAUACAUGCAACAAAUCCCGACUUCUGGAAGGGACGUAUUUAUUAGAUCCAAAACCAACGAGGGCAACCUCUUAAUUGGUGAAUCAUAAUAACUUUUCGAAUCGCAUGGCCUUGAGCCGGCGAUGGAUCAU